rnacentral:rRNA from 1 species
GACGAACGCUGGCGGCGUGCUUAACACAUGCAAGUCGAACGGAAAGGCCCUGCUUUUGUGGGGUGCUCGAGUGGCGAACGGGUGAGUAACACGUGAGUAACCUGCCCUUGACUUUGGGAUAACUUCAGGAAACUGGGGCUAAUACCGGAUAGGAGCUCCUGCUGCAUGGUGGGGGUUGGAAAGUUUCGGCGGUUGGGGAUGGACUCGCAGCUCAUCAGCUUGUUGGUGGGGUAGUGGCUUACCAAGGCUUUGACGGGUAGCCGGCCUGAGAGGGUGACCGGCCACAUUGGGACUGAGAUACGGCCCAGACUCCUACGGGAGGCAGCAGUGGGGAAUAUUGCACAAUGGGCGGAAGCCUGAUGCAGCAACGCCGCGUGCGGGAUGACGGCCUUCGGGUUGCAAACCGCUUUCGCCUGUGACGAAGCGUGAGUGACGGUAAUGGGUAAAGAAGCACCGGCUAACUACGUG